CACCACCACCCGGCCUUGGCUUAAUUUUGAUUCUAGAACUGAGCAAAACUUUUCCCACACAGCAGAAUUUAGUGUUCCACUACACAUUACUCUUCCACUCAUCAGGGAGAAUAGAGAAGGAGACCAAAGCCCACACACCAACCACACUGCAUGCAAUGGAGGACCCAGGAUAGGCUGCGACCAUCUGGUCCUAGACUAUCGAUGAGCCAAGGGGCUAGGUUACAGAACCAGCACGACCUCAGCUAAGACAUGCACAGGUGGCCUCCUGCCAGACCACCGCGAUACUGGUCCUACUAAUUGGAGAAGGUGGAGAUGACACAUGGCUUACCUGGUUUCCUUCUCAGACAAGGUGACCUUCUCUGUGAGAUAGUCAAAGAGUUCCCCUUUCUUCAUCCUGCAGGAACAAAGUGUUCCUUAGCUGCCCUCAGAAAUGUGUUCCCACCCUGAUGCCACCAAAGAUUCAACUCCUCGAAGAUUGCCUGCUUCGAAUUGGGAUUAUGUGUACCACCAUGACCAGUUGGGCUUAAACCUGGGGCAAUCCAAGGAAUAGGGCUACAGUUUGGAGCACUGUGACCAAGCUUUCCUGAGGUACUGGACUCAAUACCAAGCAUAGAAAGAGCACAGAGCCUGUGACCCUGUCCUCGGGGAUCCCGCACCGGGGAAGAGUCCCUCAUUGCUCGCACUGCCUCACCCCCGGCCGCCUUCGCAGCUCUCUGGCUAAGGAACGUCGCCCUGGCGGCCCGCGCUCAGUCCCCAGCCCCCAGGAGGAGCUCACCUGGCCGGAGGGGCCACCCGGGAAGAGCGGCUUCGGCUUCCACGCGGCAUCCUGGGCGCCCACACACUCUUGAGUCCAAAGACGACAAACUGCGAAACGCUCACCAGCGUCCAGCAACUUCUACCAAGGAGAGCGGAAGACGGGAGGCGGGUUCUCAGAGGGCAGCCAAUCAGCGCCCAAGAGAGCACGAGCGCUGAAGGUCAUUGGGAGAUCAAGACGUCGGUAACGGGGAACGCCGUGGUGCUACGCCAGGAAGUCAAGAGCUUGGCGACCAGGCCCCAGAGCUAACCGGAAGUUCCUGGGGUUGCGCUCUCAAUUCUUGUCCCCCAUUCUGUGCUGAAUUGUUAGGUUUCUGCUUCCCCCACGACUCAGGCUGACCUUGAUUUUAAGAUCCACCUGCUUCCGCCUCUCCAGGAAACUGGAUUGGGGUACAGGCAUAUACCGCCAUGCCUACCGAGUUAACAAAUUGAAAUGCAACCUUGACUGAGUCAUCCUUUGCCUCGUCUACCAGAGGGCCUUGGACUGUUUACUUAACCCUUCUCAGAUUGUUUUGUUUUGCGACAAGGCCUCACAUAACGGGUGUUAACCCGGAAGUCGCCGUUCUCAUGACUCAGUCCGCUACUGCUGGCGCUGCGGGAGAAACUCAUAUUAAAAGUGAUGUUGUAAAGGAUUUCCUAAUAAACGUGUUUGAAAAUAUUAAGUUAAACAAA